ensembl:lncRNA
CUCGGCUCACACAGAAGGUCAAAGUGAGAUGCUGAUUCUCUCUUAAUAGUUUUACUCUUAGCAAAACACGUUUACUUUAUAACCUCUUGUUUUUGGCAAUUUUACCCAGGGCUUUAAAAGCAAAGCUAACCUUCACAUCGGCUCUUCAGAAUCAAAGCCGUGCACAGGAUUGCUUCUGAAGAUGAACCCGGAGGCGCGUCUAUAACACGGACCCUCAUGUCUGAUUCUGUACAGACCGCGAGAGGACACAGCCUGGAAACUUUUUUUUUCAGGUGAUGCCUGCAGAUUGUGGACGUACUAAACAAACUUCAUUGGGAUGAAUAGAAAUGGGAACGUACGGCUCUCUCCUGGUACACUGAAACUCACCGGACCGAGGAACGUCAAAAGAUGUCUCUGGAAAUUUCACUCUCAUCAUGACCCGGUCCCUGACUGUUUCCAUCUGUCAUCAAGCGCUCAGUCAAUGUCAACAUGCAUGUUGAGCCAAAGGCAAGUUGGGACGCCUUUUCAGAGUUUUAUGAUUCAGUUUGUGGGACAAAAUGUCAAAACUGUUCAAUUCAAUUUGUCAGAGCGAGAAUCCAUGGCUUGAUUCCUGACAGAGGAAUAGAAUAUGACUAAUCUCAGAUCUAAUCUCAUCGCUGGGGUGCCAAAUCCUUCUCUGACUUCACUUUCCAGACACAUCAGUCAUUUCUCCAGCUAAUGAUUUUAGCCAUUAUAUUUUCAUCCGUCAAAACAGUUAAAUGUUUUCUGUGCGAGCAGAGGAUUGGUUUUAAUAACUGAGGCAGGACAUCAGAUUUAACCCUUUUGGUUCAAUGCAAAUCUGAUCAGCCGGCUGGAUGUGCAUUAGUCAGGUUUUGUAGUUUUGUGUUGCUGUCUGGCACUGAAGAACAUGGAAUCUGAUUGGAAACUAAAUACUGUCUAAUAUAUACAUUAUAUACUGCCACCGCCUUUUAAAGUGCAAUAAGAAAAGAGCAAGAAUUUUGCAUCGUAGAUGUUCAAAUUGCAUUGUUGUGCAUGAAUCACUAUGUUGCUUGACUAAUUCAGUAACUGACAUCAUUAUCAUCUCAAAAACAAAUACAGUUGUUCUGCAUUUUUAAAGCAAAUUAAGCAUAAUGUGUCAGGAGCUAUAUGUUAAAAUCAUGUUGAUAUUGCAUAUGGUUUAUUUG